rnacentral:rRNA from 1 species
ACGGGGGAAAAAUUUAUUGCUAUUAGAUGAGCCUAUAUUAGAUUAGUUAGUUGGUGAGGUAAAGGCUUACCAAGACAAUGAUCUAUAGCUGAUCUGAGAGGAUGAUCAGCCACACUGGAACUGAGAUACGGUCCAGACUCCUACGGGAGGCAGCAGUGGGGAAUAUUGGACAAUGGGCGAAAGCCUGAUCCAGCCAUGCCGCAUGAGUGAAGAAGGCCUUCGGGUUGUAAAGCUCUUUUAGUGAGGAAGAUAAUGACGGUACUCACAGAAGAAGUCCUGGCUAACUCCGUGCCAGCAGCCGCGGUAAUACGGAGAGGGCUAGCGUUAUUCGGAAUCAUUGGGCGUAAAGGGCGCGUAGGCGGGUUAGUAAGUUAAAAGUGAAAUCCCAAGGCUCAACCUUGGAACUGCUUUUAAAACUGCUAGUCUAGAGAUUGAAAGAGGAUAGAGGAAUUCCUAGUGUAGAGAUGAAAUUCGUAAAUAUUAGGAGGAACACCAGUGGCGAAGGCGUCUAUCUGGUUCAAAUCUGACGCUGAGGCGCGAAGGCGUGGGGAGCAAACAGGAUUAGAUACCCUGGUAGUCCACGCUGUAAACGAUGAAUGUUAAAUAUGGGAAGUUUACUUUCUGUAUUAUAGCUAACGCGUUAAACAUUCCGCCUGGGGNCUACNGUCGCAAGAUUAAAACUCAAAGGAAUUGACGGNGACCCC